UCAGUGGUCGUAUUUCCGGUAACGGCGGCGGGAAGCGGUCUACAGGCGGGCGUCUAGGCCUCUACCGAGGCGAAUCCGGCGGGAAUCGGAGCCAUCAGAACCGCCACCAUGACUGUGGGUAAGAGCAGCAAGAUGCUGCAGCACAUCGACUACAGGAUGAGGUGCAUCCUGCAAGACGGCCGUAUCUUCAUUGGCACCUUUAAAGCUUUUGACAAGCAUAUGAAUUUGAUCCUCUGUGACUGUGACGAGUUCAGAAAGAUCAAGUGUGUAAGGGGGGAGAGCUUGAUUUUCUGGCCUCAUUGCCUAUUUGUAAAGCUGUAGCCUAAAGGGCUCUCCCAAUGCAGCCUGGUCUGAAACUGCUUUAAGAAGCCUCUGACCCUCUUCAGGGUAAGUGCUCAGCUCCCCUUGUGGGUUUGGGGCCAGUGAUUUUUGUUGACAUUUAGAGAAACAAUUGGAAAUAUUUUCUACUUUCCCAUGAUUCCAUAAGUUAUUAGGCAAUUCCCUUGUCUUAGGACUCAAGAUCUUAAGUUUCAAGCCAAUUAAAAGAUGUGGUCUAGUGUUUUAUUCUGUUUUACAUUCAAGGCAUCUUGAGGCCCAAAGAAGUUAGGUGACUUCCAUCCAGCUCUCUUUUGCCAUGUGCAGUGUCCACAGUAUGUCGCCAGUGGCUGUGAAUUCCUUUUGAUUCCUUUGGGACUGUUGUUUUCUUUGUGGCAUGAGGUCAAGAAGCAUAGGACAGAAAAUGUGGUGGGGAUGGCUGAGGGCCAGGUGCACAUUAGGGAGCGGCCAACAGGUCAGUGUAGAGCUAUUUCAUAUGGUUCUCUGCUGUGUUAUCAACUGAAGCUAACUUUAUUCUGAUAAUAAAAAAAGUACCUAUUAGAAAAUAAUUAUUAAAAAUACCUAAAAGUAUUUGAGAAAAUUUAAAAUAUCCAGAAAGUUUUUUCUUUUUAAUCGUGAAAGGGCAGUACAUACUUUCAUUAAAAAAUAAGGAAUAUAGAUAGAUAAGCCGAAAAAGUGACACCCAUAGAAAACCACUGUCAAUUUAUUAUAAAAUAUCAUUAAAAUGAAAAUUUUAAGUUAUUUUUAAAAAUCAGAGUAUUUUGUGUUUCCUUUAUUUUUAGGAAAUUGUCAUUGGCUUUUCUUUUCUUUCCCUAUCUUGUUGCAUUAUUUUUCCCAGUUUAUAUUUAUUUAUAUUUUGUUCAUCCUUUUCCUGGUUGUUGCUGUUUGGAGAUUUCUGUUUUUGUUCUUUGAAGACAAAGGUGUAAUUUCUAUGUAGUUAACUCUUAACCUUUUCUUUUAUGGCUUCUAUAUCUAAUGUGAGGUGAGUGAUGGAGUUCCAGGCCUGUGGGGUUGAAUUGGUACUGGAAGGAUACUGCAUGUAAGUGGAGUGAGUGAGAUGCAGUUGACUUGAGGAAUUGUUUGGGCUCCUCCUGACACUGGGGAACCUUAAGCUGAAGGGCAGGAAAGAGUAAGCAAAGAAAGAGUUUACUGUGGAAAGGCCCUCACAGUGGCUACAAGUGAGCCAGGGCUGGGCUUUCUUGACUUGUCCUGUGUCUUGAUUGGUACAUCUUCUUGGCAUGGGAGACAGUCACCUAAGGGGUUACAAGUUCAGCCAGUGAAGACUGUCCAGAGGAGCCGUCUUAAGGAAAGUUUAUUACCAUCUGUCAGUAGAUAGAGUACAAAACAGAUCUUGGAGGGCUUCUAGGUAGGUGAACAUGAACUUUACCCUUUUUCUAAUGCUUGUUUUUGUUUCUUCUCCUCAACCUGUCUUUAGACCAAAGAACUCAAAACAAGCGGAGAGAGAAGAGAAGCGAGUCCUUGGUCUGGUGCUACUUCGAGGGGAGAACCUGGUCUCAAUGACGGUAGAGGGACCACCUCCCAAAGAUACCGGCAUUGCCCGAGUGCCACUAGCUGGAGCUGCUGGGGGCCCAGGGAUUGGCAGAGCUGCUGGCAGGGGAAUCCCAGCUGGUGUUCCUAUGCCCCAGGCUCCUGCAGGACUUGCCGGGCCGGUCCGUGGGGUUGGUGGGCCAUCCCAACAGGUGAUGACCCCGCAAGGAAGAGGCACUGUUGCAGCAGCUGCAGCUGCUGCCACAGCCAGUAUUGCAGGGGCCCCAACCCAGUACCCACCUGGCCGAGCAGGUCCUCCCCCGCCUAUGGGCCGAGGAGCCCCCCCUCCAGGCAUGAUGGGCCCACCUCCUGGUAUGAGGCCUCCCAUGGGUCCCCCCAUGGGAAUCCCCCCUGGACGAGGAACUCCAAUGGGCAUGCCCCCACCCGGAAUGCGGCCCCCUCCCCCAGGGAUGCGAGGCCUUCUUUGACCUUGGCCACAGAAUUAUGGAAGUAGCUCCACAGAGGCGUGGGCCCGACCCCCCAGGGCCACGUUACCACACCUGUUUGUUUGUUAAGCCGUUGUUCCGCCGGAGUCUCACCGGAUUGUCUGGUUUCCCUUACAGGGCCCCCUCCCCCGGGAAUGCGCCCACCAAGGCCCUAGACUCAUCUUGACCCUCCUCAGCUCCCUGCCUGUUUCCUGUAAGGCUGUACAUAGUCCUUUUACUUCCUUGUGGCCUGUGAAACUAGUUUAUAAUAAACUCUUAAGAGAAUGCAGUGCUAUAAAUGCACCUGGUAUGUUUGUUUAUUUUCAGAAAAAUCUUUGAUAUACCGGGUGCUUAAAUAAGAGGAAGGGUUGCCUUGGAAAAAUGAGCCCUAAUCCUUAGUUGCUUCCCUUGUAAAAUACUAUAUUCUUUUGCAGAGAUGCACAGCUUCAUCAAAGAGAAUUACACAAUUGAACUACAAGGAAAUUCUUUUCACUUGUCAAACUGGCAAAAAUCAUUUUGUUGAAAUAAAACAUUCAUAUCCUAUGG